AUUGAACGCUGGCGGCAUGCCUUACACAUGCAAGUCGAACGGCAGCGCGGGAGCAAUCCUGGCGGCGAGUGGCGAACGGGUGAGUAAUACAUCGGAACGUGCCCAAUCGUGGGGGAUAACGCAGCGAAAGCUGUGCUAAUACCGCAUACGAUCUACGGAUGAAAGCAGGGGACCGCAAGGCCUUGCGCGAAUGGAGCGGCCGAUGGCAGAUUAGGUAGUUGGUGAGGUAAAGGCUCACCAAGCCUUCGAUCUGUAGCUGGUCUGAGAGGACGACCAGCCACACUGGGACUGAGACACGGCCCAGACCCCUACGGGAGGCAGCAGUGGGGAAUUUUGGACAAUGGGCGCAAGCCUGAUCCAGCCAUGCCGCGUGCAGGAUGAAGGCCUUCGGGUUGUAAACUGCUUUUGUACGGAACGAAACGGCCUUUUCUAAUAAAGAGGGCUAAUGACGGUACCGUAAGAAUAAGCACCGGCUAACUACGUGCCAGCCGCCGCCGUAA
rnacentral:rRNA from 1 species